rnacentral:rRNA from 1 species
UACGGAGGGUGCAAGCGUUUAUCCGGAUUCACUGGGUUUAAAGGGUGCGUAGGUGGGCAGGUAAGUCAGUGGUGAAAUCUCCGGGCUUAACCCGGAACUGCCGUUGAUACUAUCUGUCUUGAAUGUAGUGGAGGUGAGCGGAAUAUGUCAUGUAGCGGUGAAAUGCUUAGAUAUGACAUAGAACAUCGAUUGCGAAGGCAGCUCGCUACACUAUGAUUUGACACUGAGGCACGGAAAAGCGUGGGGAUCAAACAGGAU